rnacentral:rRNA from 1 species
GUCUUUUUGAGUUAUUUUUAAAGUCUGACCUGCCCACUGAAUUUUUAAAUGGCCGCAGUAUCCUAACUGUGCAAAGGUAGCAUAAUCAUUAGUCUUUUAAUUGAAGGCUGGUAUGAACGGUUGGACGAGGUAUCAGCUGUUUCAUAUAAAAUUAUAAUAGAACUUUAUAUUUUAGUCAAAAAGCUAAAAUAUUAUUAAAAGACGAGAAGACCCUAUAAAUCUUUAUAUUUUAUUAUAUUUAAGUUUUUUAGAUUUGUUUUAUUUUUAUAUAAUAAAAUAUUUUGUUGGGGUGAUAUUAAAAUUUAAUGAACUUUUAAUUUUUUGAAAACAUUAAUUUAUGAGUUAUUGAUCCAUUAGUAGUGAUUAUAAGAUUAAGUUACUUUAGGGAUAACAGCGUAAUUUUUUUGGAGAGUUCAUAUCGAUAAAAAAGUUUGCGACCUCGAUGUUGGAUUAAGAUACAAUUUUAGGUGUAGCCGCUUAAAUGUUAAGUCUGUUCGACUUUUAAAUUCUU